rnacentral:misc_RNA from 1 species
GAUGAAGAACGCAGCGAAAUGCGAUAAGUAGUGUGAAUUGCAGAAUUCAGUGAAUCAUCGAAUCUUUGAACGCACAUUGCGCCCCUUGGUAUUCCAUGGGGCAUGCCUGUUCGAGCGUCAUUUGUACCCUUAAGCUUUGCUUGGUGUUGGGUGUUUGUCCCGCGUUGCGCGUGGACUCGCCUUAAAGCGAUUGGCAGCCGGCAUAUUGGCCUUGGAGCGCAGCACAUUUUGCGCUUCUAGUCAUGAAUGUUGGCGUCCAUUAAGCCUAUACAUUUGCUCUUGACCUCGGAUCAGGUAGGGAUACCCGCUGAACUUAAGCAUAUCAAUAAGCGGAGGA